ncrna:unclassified sequences L31-Firmicutes ribosomal protein leader
CUCUGUUCCAGAUGGUUCAGGGCGAGACGGAG